GAAACGGGCAGCCGGCACCUCCUGUCUCCUGGGAUGCUCGCUCUUGGAAGCCAGCCCUGUGCCGAGUGGGAGCCAAAGCGGCCUGUGGGGAGGAGAGACCCACGUGGGGAGGAAGCGAGGCUCCAGGCCCGUGGCCCUGGCUGAACACCCAGUGCCAAGGUGCCAGCCCCGUGAGUGAGCCGUCCUGGAAGCCCCCGGUCCAGCCAGCCCAGCAGACAGAACGUGCAGCAGAGCAGACACUUUCUCCUUAGCCUCGGGCUCCUGCAACAACCCCAAGGGACUUGACCACAUGCCUAGCCAGGCUUAUAGAUCCGAACCACAAAGGAAGAUGAAAGAAUCUGGCUGAUGAAGUCCUCCACCCUGAGAAGAGGAAGAAAAAAAAGAGAGAGAGAGAGAAAGAAAGGAAAGAAAGAAAAGAACAGAGGGAGGGGGAAGGAAUAAUCCUUGACAAAUAUU